UGGCUGACUACAGGCUAACACUUUUCUUAACAUUUUGUUUGUGAACAAACCAACACAAGGUUAAUGAGAAUAAGGCAUUCUAAACCACUCGGAUUCCUUUUUCUGACAGAAUAACCAAUUUAGCUCACAAUGGGAGUGCACUGAACAGUGUAUCUUUACUUGAACAAAUCUGAACAUUUGAAAAAGUCACCAGUGAGACUCUACUAUGGAAGAUAACAAAUCAAGAAAGAUAUCAGGUCUUAUUUUCCACUGACUCACGUCACGGUGGUGGCAUCAACAACCCCAUCCAUAAGGAGCCCACUGCCAGCCCAUUUCUUCUGCAGCUGCUUGCUGCCACUUGUGUAUGUCAUUCCUGGCCUCUGGCAAGUGGCGCAGCAGUGGACCAGCAAGGCAAGGCAGGUGUCAGGUGUGCAAGGCCUGGCUGCAAUUAUCUAAAGUUUCAAGUUAUGAACUUUCACCGCUAUGAACAAAGCUGUCUGCAACUCCAACCUAGAAGAUCCUAGAACAGCACACCCCAAAUCUUUUGACACCAGGGACUGUUUCCUUGAAGAGAAGAUUUUCCGUGGACCGGAGGGGGUGUGUGUGGUUUCACGUGCUACCUGCAUCCCGCAGAUGGUGCUUCGUUUGUUUGCACGUUCUGGUUGCUGGCAUGCCACAGACCACUGCCGGUAUACAGAGUGGGAGUUGGGAACCGCAAUCCUAGAAGAUGGAAAAAAAAUAGUUUACGCUGCACUGCAUACAUACAUUGAUUGUUUUAAAAUUGACUUUAUGAACAGCCUGUUGGAAUGCAACCUGUUUUUAAGUAGAAAAUUGUAUUCUAUAUAAUCUGCAAUGAAAAUUAGUGAAGGGA